rnacentral:rRNA from 1 species
UACAGAGGGUGCGAGCGUUAAUCGGAAUUACUGGGCGUAAAGGGCGCGUAGGCGGUUUGCCAAGUCCCGUGUGAAAGCCCUCGGCUCAACCGAGGAACGGCGCGGGAAACUAGCAGGCUCGAGUUCGGGAGAGGGAAGCGGAAUUCCGGGUGUAGCGGUGAAAUGCGCAGAUAUCCGGAGGAACACCGGUGGCGAAGGCGGCUUCCUGGACCGACACUGACGCUGAGGCGCGAAAGCUAGGGGAGCAAACGGG